rnacentral:lncRNA from 1 species
AGAACACUGCAGGACACCAGUGCAGCGCCCAGCCUGCGACCAUGAGGUAAAGGAUUUUUUCUUGCAUUUAUCCCUUGAAAUUAUGUUGUGUGCCUUUGAAAACCUCAAGGUAGAUUUUCUUAGGUGCUGGAUUUGGGCAUCUGCUUAAAUAUUUAACAUAUCUUAGAGAAUACUUGUUUCUUGUUAAUUCAGGCAUUUUAAAAUCUGUGGCGCUUCCAGACUCAUAUCAACAUUCCCUGAUGGAAGCCUUUAGCAAUCCUAACCAGGAAGUGGCCAGAGCCUGGAGCCAGAGACGAACGUCCCUCAUAGGAGGGGUUGCUGGAGGAGGAGGGGCAAAUCUAUUUCAUUCUGUCCUUGCAGGCACAUUUUCAUCAGUUAAUGAUGCAAACCAGGCUGAAACGUUCUUAACAAGCAUGUGUGUUUCUGUUUUUCAUUUGAAAGUCAGGAGCAUGAGGCUAUAUUCAUCAUAGAGGCAGGGUUUCUCUGUGUCAGAGCUCAGCAUUGGCAGCUCUAGCAAAGGACAGGCUGCAUUUAGCUGGUUCUUUUCUAAGGAGCCACAGUCAGGCACUAAACCAGCAUCUACACCUCUGAGGCCCCUAAAAGCCUCCAGUGAAGCUGGGCUUGAUCAGACCUCAAAAAGAUCUCCCUUUGCAUUUUGCUCUUAGUUCUCAGUGAUCUUUAAAAAAUAAUAAUAAUAAAAAGAUUAGAAUCAUGAAAGAUUUUUCUCAGGAUAUGAAUACUAUAGGCACACUAAAGAAACUUUGGAAAAAUGCCAGCAAGUAUAAGCGAAAAAAAAUCAUACUGCCCCUUAUAUCACCCACUGAAAUUAAAAUAUUUAAACAUUAUGCUUCUGUGUACACCUGUAUACGCUAUAUGUCAGGCCUCUGAGCCCAAGCUAAGCCAUCAUAUACCCUGUGACCUGCACGUAUAAAUCCGGAUGACCUGAAGUAACUGAAGAAUCACAAAAGAAGUGAAAAUGGCCUGUCCCUGCCUUAACUGAUGACAUUACCUUGUGAAAUUCCUUUUCCUGGCUCAUCCUAGCUCAAAAGCUCCCGCACUGAGCACCUGGUGACCCCCACCUCUGCCAGCCAGAGAACAACCCCCUUUGAUGUAAUUUUCCACUAUCUACCCAAAUCUUAUAAAACGGCCCCGGCCCUAUCUCCCUUCACUGACUCUCUUUUCAGACUCAGCCUGCCUGCACCCAGGUGAUUAAAAAGCUUUAUUGCUCACACAAAGCCUGUUUGGUGGUCUCUUCACGUGGAAAAGAGUGAAACUAUAUAAAAUAGAUUUCUUUGGAAAAUAUUUCAAAGUUAAGGGUGUAUGUUACAGUUGGUUUCAUCUUAUCCUUUCACUUAACAUUAUAUUGUGAGUGUUUUCUGAUAUUAUUACAAUUUUUCAAUGACAUGGGUAUUGAGAGCUUCAUAAUAAUAUUGCAAAAUAUGGAUGUAGGAUGUAGGAUGACUUCUCGGUCUCCUUUCUUUGUUCUUUUUUUCAUUUCCUUUCUUCCAUCCUUCCUUCCUUUCCUCCUUCAUUCCUUUUUUCCUUCCUUCUCUCCAAUCCUUCCUCUUACUUCCUUCCUUUGUUCCUUCCCUCCAUUCUCUUCUUCCUCAUUUUUUCCCCUUCCUCCCUGCCUUCCAGAUUCCUUCCUUUUUAGCUUAAUUAAAUGUAUACAUUCACAUCAUUUAAAUAGUCAACGUGAUCUACAAGGUAGGAGACAUAGCAACCCCCUUCCCCAUUCCACCCUAUUUCCCAGUCUCCAGAGGUAACCACAUAUAACUCUUUUGGUGCCUAUUUUGUGAUUUGUUGCCACACCCUGAGAUUCUUCCAUGCUGUCUUUUUUCAGUUUAAAGUAUUUAUUAUAGUUAACCUACCACAAUACAUGAUACCAUGAUACACAUGAGUUAUAUAGUCUUAACUAGCCUUUUGAUUUUUUUUUUCUUUUAAGCAUGAGACCACAAGGAGUCACAUACUGACCUUUAGGCAGGACAGUGCUUUACUCAGAAAUCCCUGACCAUGAGCUGAGUGCAAUGAUUCCUUGACUGUGGGUUGGCUCCCCUGGGAAAGGUCCCAUUAUGUUCUAUGUUUGGGAAGAAGUGUAUACAUGGUUAUUUAGGGCCAGAGCAGGAUACUGUUGUGGAAACAACUCAUGAUCCUUCCAAAUUAGUGUUUCCCCUUCAUAAUAUGAAGUCGUCACCAGGAAGGGGGCUUCCUACUCUGCAGCUACAUGAACUAACCUUCACUUCUCCCCAGGUGGGCCAUGAACUAGUGCUUCCUAAUAGAAUGUGAGUGAAUGUGAUGUAUGUCAUUUCCAAGUAAAGAUGGUUAAGAAUCAGGUGUACCCUCUUUACUCUCAAUUUCCAGGCUCUAGGGGAUGGUAGAGUCACAGGAUGGAAGAACUCUGUGUCCUUGAAUCAUUGCAUGGAAGAGAACUGGAAGUUGCCCAGGAACACCAGCCUUGGACAGUUAUGUGAACAAGAAAUAAACUUCUUUUACAGUGUCAUUUAUGUUUUUGAGCAUCUUUGUUACAGCGGCUAGGUGUAUACUAAUUCAGGGAUUCUGUGAUAGCAAUAUUUCUUCUUCUUUUGAGUAGGUUUCCAAAACUUGAUUUUCCACAAUUCUGAAAUAUUUUGGUUCUGGGAUAAACUUUUCUACUCUUUUGGCAGCACAAAGAUCCCUUUGUACAGAGGCACUGAUUUGUCUUCUUCUGGAGUAGCAUCCCAGUUUCUCACUGUGGCCAACAAAGCGAAUAAAAAGAAAAAAAGGAUCUGAAAUAGCAAUCCAGCGGCAGCCACCAAUACCUGAUAAUACUAUAGUCAAAGCUCCACAUUAGAGAACAGACCACUUUCAGGUGAGUGGCCCCUGGCCCUAGAAGUAAGUGGUAUUCAAAGAUGGUAAAUGGUAUGGGUGGCAGUAGAAGGUAGUAAUAACUAACCCUUAUUGGGCAUUUACCAUGUGCCAAGCACUGUUCUCAGAGCUUUAUACAUAGUAGUCCACUCAAUCUCCACAAAACCCUAUGUGGUAAAUACUAACAUAAUUCCUUUUUCUUUUUUAGAGACCUAGUCACGUUCUGUCACACAGGCUGGAGUACAAUGGUGCAAUCUUGGUUCACUGCAGCCUCAAACUCCUGGGCUAAAGC